GAUGAACGCUGGCGGCGUGCCUAAUACAUGCAAGUCGAGCGAACGGACGAGAAGCUUGCUUCUCUGAUGUUAGCGGCGGACGGGUGAGUAACACGUGGAUAACCUACCUAUAAGACUGGGAUAACUUCGGGAAACCGGAGCUAAUACCGGAUGAUAUUUUGAACCGCAUGGUUCAAAAGUGAAAGACGGUCUUGCUGUCACUUAUAGAUGGAUCCGCGCUGCAUUAGCUAGUUGGUAAGGUAACGGCUUACCAAGGCAACGAUGCAUAGCCGACCUGAGAGGGUGAUCGGCCACACUGGAACUGAGACACGGUCCAGACUCCUACGGGAGGCAGCAGUAGGGAAUCUUCCGCAAUGGGCGAAAGCCUGACGGAGCAACGCCGCGUGAGUUAUGAAGGUCUUCAGAUCGUAAAACUCUGUUAUUAGGGAAGAACAUAUGUGUAAGUAACUGUGCACAUCUUGACGGUACCUAAUCAGAAAGCCACGGCUAACUACGUG
rnacentral:rRNA from 1 species